AGCUAGAGUAAUGAUAUGACCACCACCUCUUGUGCACAAACAAUAUUGUAUAAACUAAUGCGACAUAAUAUGAUUGGUUAAACAAAAACAUUACAUGGCCCUCAUAAUUUAUUUAUUUAUUUAUUAUUAUUAUUAUAUAUUUUCAGUCAACCAAUCAUAUUAUAUCACAUUAGUUUCUAUAAAAUAAUUUGCUAAAUAGCACCAAAACUUAAUUGAUACUCACCAUUUCAUUGAACAAUUUUUUUAUGGUGUCAUUGAGGUUGCCUUCCCAACAUCGUUCAUCAUCAUCUUUUUCUUCUUUGGUGACGUUCACUUUGUUUAGCAUUGGUGUGUCUAAGAGUCCUUGAGAGAAGAUCUUCAUUUUUGGACACUGUCUCACAACUACUUGUUUCAAGGACGGGAAUUCAAGAGCGUAAUUACCUAAACUGAGCAAAAAAUUGUAAAUAUGUAGAACCAAAUUAUUCAAGUACAGAAGAACGAGCAAGCUAAAUCAUGUAUAAGAGAUUGGCCUGGUUCGGGAUAGCUUCUUCACUGUAUCUGAAGGGUUGGCUCAAUCUCUUCUUUAGAAUUCUGCAGAUUUUGUAAUUACUCGUGUAAGCAAGUAUACAUUGCCACCAUAAGAAUAAUGAAGCUAGAGUAAUGAUAUGACCACCACCUCUUGUGCACAAACAAUAUUGUAUAAACUAAUGCGACAUAAUAUGAUUGGUUAAACAAAAACAUUACAUGGCCCUCAUAAUUUAUUUUAUUAUUAUUAUUAUAUAUUUUCAGUCAACCAAUCAUAUUAUAUCACAUUAGUUUCUAUAAAAUAAUUAGCUAAAUAGCACCAAAACUUAAUUGAUACUCACCAUUUCAUUGAACAAUUUUUUUAUGGUGUCAUUGAGGUUGCCUUCCCAACAUCCUUCAUCAUCAUCAUCUUCUUCUUCGGUGACGUUCACUUUGUUUAGCAUUGGUGUGUCUAAGAGUCCUUGAGAGAAGAUCUUCAUUUUUGGACACUGUCUCACAACUACUUGUUUCAAGGACGGGAAUUCAAG
rnacentral:lncRNA from 1 species